rnacentral:rRNA from 1 species
ACGAACGCUGGCGGCGUGCUUCACACAUGCCAGCCGCACGGUGAAGCGCCUUCCUUUUUGGUGGGUGUGGAUGAGUGGCGAACGGGUGAGUAACACGUGAGUAACCUGCCCCCUUCUUCUGGAUAACCGCAUGAAAGUGUGGCUAAUACGGGAUAUUCUGGGUCUGUCGCAUGAUGGGUCUGGGAAAGAUAUUGUUUCGGUGGGGGAUGGGCUCGCGGCCUAUCAGCUUGUUGGUGGGGUGAUGGCCUACCAAGGCGGUGACGGGUAGCCGGCCUGAGAGGGUGGACGGUCACACUGGGACUGAGACACGGCCCAGACUCCUACGGGAGGCAGCAGUGGGGAAUAUUGCACAAUGGGCGCAAGCCUGAUGCAGCGACGCCGCGUGAGGGAUGGAGGCCUUCGGGUUGUGAACCUCUUUCGCCAGUGAAGCAGGCCUGCCUCGUUUGUGGGUGGGUUGACGGUAGCUGGAUAAGAAGCGCCGGCUAACUACGUG